rnacentral:tRNA from 1 species
AGAUAUAUAAUUUAUAAAAAUAUCUAGCUUGCAACUAGAAAAUGCUCCCGCUUUAUCUA